UACGAAGGGGGCUAGCGUUGUUCGGAAUUACUGGGCGUAAAGCGUGCGCAGGCGGUUCGUUGUGUCUGAUGUGAAAGCCCCGGGCUCAACCUGGGAAUGGCAUUGGAAACUGGCGAGCUAGAGUGUGGCAGAGGGGGGUGGAAUUCCGCGUGUAGCAGUGAAAUGCGUAGAGAUGCGGAGGAAUACCGAUGGCGAAGGCAGCCCCCUGGGAUAACACUGACGCUCAUGCACGAAAGCGUGGGGAGCAAACAGG
rnacentral:rRNA from 1 species